GGGCGGUCCCAGAGAGGCACAGCUCGGAUUUCUUCGACCCAAGAAGCCUAUCAAAACGGCGCAAGCGCGUUGAGGGCGUUCACGAGGGCCGGAAGUAGCCGGUGCUGAGGACAAUUCAACCAUGAAGAAGAAAACUUAGUUCCUGUCUUCAGGAGCUCUCAAUCUAACCAAUGAAGACAAAUAUAGAGUCCUAAUUUGGUGCUUUUUUCACUACACCAUAUCACCUCUCUUGGACCGUUUAAGGAGGAUGUCUGAGAGGUGCUACACCCAGUCUUUAAGAAGAUGGUACCAGGGAAAAUUUUUCUGGAGGUGAUAAUACCUGAGAGAUAAAGAAAAGGAGAGAGAGAAACAUUGAUGUGAGAGAGAAACACU